GAUGAAGAACGCAGCGAAAUGCGAUAAGUAAUGUGAAUUGCAGAAUUCAGUGAAUCAUCGAAUCUUUGAACGCACAUUGCGCCCCCCAGUAUUCUGGCGGGCAUGCCUGUUCGAGCGUCAUUUCAACCAUCAAGCCCUGCUUGUGUUGGGGUCCUGCGGCUGCCCGCAGGCCCUGAAAACCAGUGGCGGGCUCGCUAGUCACACCGAGCGCAGUAGCACAUCUCGCUCAGGGCGUGCGGCGGGCUCCAGCCGUUAAAGCACCCACCUUUGGCAAGGUUGACCUCGGAUCAGGUAGGAAUACCCGCUGAACUUAAGCAUAUCAAUAAGCGGAGGA
rnacentral:misc_RNA from 1 species